rnacentral:tRNA from 1 species
GUCUGGUUGGCUCAGCGGUUGAGCGCCUGCCUUUGAUCCAGGGUGUGAUCCUGGAGACCCGGGAUCGAGUCCUGCAUCGGGCU